GUAAAAUUUUGCUUAGUUUUAAACCUACACCCCAGAUACAGGAUGUACUAGAGAUGGUUCUGGCUCUAACAAGAACACUGUGCCUACCACAAAGAUUUGAUUCCUACCUACAUAGUGCCUUGUGAUGAUUCCUGUAUUUUUGCCUUAAAUGGAAUUUAUGGAGAAGACAUUUUUGAGAUGCAGUCUUAGAGAUUAGUGAAGAUUUAACUAAAACAUUGAUACUACAUGGUCUAAAUGAGGCAGAGAGAGCAUUUUAGAUGUGAUUCCGGGCCACCACAUUGCAUCAUUCUAGGAGCUGCCAUUGACAUUGUCUUCUUUGCAUGCCCCAAGGAGUGUUCAUCCCCAUAAUAGAAAAUGAUAAGGCAAGUUACUUAACCUCUCUUUUAAUUUGCUGUUAUUUGUAUCUUUCAGGGUUGCUUGAGAAGUAAAUUAAAGAAGAUAAAAAAUAACAUAGUGCGCAAUGCACAGAAUGCGUCCCAAAACACUAGUUUUUUUCCUCUCUAAUCAUUCUUACAGAAUGCCUGAUGAAAUCUUGUUACUUCUGCCACCAGAUGUAACUGAAAUAGCUUGGAAUAUUUGGUUUGUUUAAGCCACUGGAACUCACUGGACUAUUUUUAACUAAUAUUAGUAAGAAGGAAAUUCUGUUCACUUACAAUUAAGGAAGCCUACAAAAGUUGUCUUUUCAUUAAAAAGAUAAUAUGCAUUUAGGUAGUCAUCUAACUCCUACUUAAAGCAGCAUGUCUGUUCAAACAUCCUUUAUUUUCUUAAUUUGUCUCAAAAGAGGUUUGCUUUAUCUUAAGG
rnacentral:lncRNA from 1 species